CUAUGGGACAAAUCUUUGGAAGGUUGGACAAAAGUGAGAAGAUGAGUCUUGCUACUGGGAAACUCAAAUAAUUUAAGAUCAAAAUAUAAUUUUCUCUUUCAAAUGUUUAAACUCAAGACAAAUCCAAAGGUCAAGAUUCAGUCAAACCAGGGAACUCAUCAAAUCAUGACCACUGGCAGUUUUUGUAUGGUCUUGUUCCUGAAUAGCUGUGUUUUUUCCUUCCCUGAGAAAGUGACCUGUCUUCCCUCUACUUUUAGUAAGUCAGUUCUGAUUUAUAUUUGGAGUCAUGGCACAGUACUAGAUGAUUCAAGCAGAGGAAGAAAAAAGAUCUGUGGCACUUUAUUUUCCACUUUCCUCUGAUAAAAG
rnacentral:lncRNA from 1 species